GAGAGGAGAAGAGAGAGACAGAGGAAUGAGAAACAAACAAGAUAACUACGUACGUAUUUGCGAAACUAUUAUAUAUGCAAUAAAAUGCAAGUAGCAAAGAGGUACAGUAUGUUGAAAGUAAAGAAAUCAUGUAAAAAACAACAGUAGAAGCAGACAGGCAGAGACAAAUGUACUACUGUACUUGACUUGUGCUAAACAAUAGCUGAGAUUAGUUCUUUGGGAGCAAUGCCAUUGAAUGCAUCUGAGGUCACCCCCAAUUGUCUUGUGUGCAACACAAUGUCCCCCUUCAGAUGCUCCGCAAAGUGUCCGUGACAACAACACAAUUAACCCCCUUGUCCCAACCAAUGGCAGAUGACACGGUUGUCGGCGUGGCAGCCUUUGUUCAGUAUGGGCUUCCAGGUCCUGUCCGUCCCUUGGUCUGAUCCCUGUAAGGAACCAGCCGGCAUCAGAGUAUGACCAAUACGACCCCCCCCCCCCUCUCUAUACACGGUGGUCUGAUCUAUUUAGGACAGCUGUAGCCACUGAUUUAGUUUGGUUGAUGACCUCAAGAUUUCACUGCACAUCCCACUGAGAGCUAAGCGCAAGAGGCUAUGCUGUGCCUGCUGAGUGUAAGCUAAGAGAGAGUCCAGGCACAGACUAGGGCUGACUGCCUCUUGUUCCAUGGGAAACACUAGCAUCACGGAGGGCAAGACUGCCCUGGCAGUGGGCAAAACUUCCAUAGCCAGGGGCAAGACCACGGUCGCGAUGGGCAACACCUCCGUCUCCAGAGGAGUGACCACCACCUCCAUGGGGGACUCCACCAUCAGUAGGGAGAAGACCACAGUAGCUCUUGGCGGAGCUAGUUUCACCAGGGGAACCACCACCACCUCCUUUCGGAAGGCUCUGAUGCCAAAGCGCAGGACCACCUAGAAUAAAUGGACAGGAGCUCAGACGCCACGUCCAAGACUCCCAAAGCAACCAGGACAUCAAAAAAAGACUUGACUGAAGAGGAGGAGUGGAAAGUCACGUUCCUGUCCAGCAAGACUAGCUUCACUAAGGGCAGGAUCUUGAUUCUGAAGACUAAGUACGCCAUCUCCUGGGGCAAGUCCUCUGUCUCGUGGAGCAGAACCACCGCUACCCUGGGAAAGAUCACUGUGACCAUGGGAAAGACCUCCGUGACACGAGACCAGACCACCAGCUCUCUGACCACUCUCACCUUCACCCAUGGAGAGAAGUCUGUGUCUGUGGUCAAAUCCAGCCUCACUAGGGGCAGACAAACUACACGGAACAUCUACUGGGAUUUCCACCUGUGAUUCUUGCAUACGGUUUCACUCAAAACAGAGGGACUUUUAUCUGCUCAGUUUCAGCAGGUCAGUUGUAGCUUAAAUCAUGUCCAUUUGUAAUCAAUUAUUCCAUGUGUCUGAUCAAUGUGCAGCAUUCUGCAGCUCCAGUGUCAAUGAAGCAUUCAUGUUUUCGAAGAAAAACAUUGAGCACGUCUUUCAAAAUGAAUCCCACAUGAUGAGGAUGUGUUACGGAUCUAACAGGCUUGAAAUCAGAUAUUCCGAUGCGUGACAGAGGAGAUGAGGUUGGUGGUGUGUUGGCAGGGAGGGAGGCAGGAGGACACAGCUGUGUGUGGUGUAUGUGGAGACACUGGACAGAGCAUGUGUCAUCAUUAGUGUGCUGUUCAACAGAGAACCUCAACGGUAAUUCUCUGAGGCAAAAAUACAGUUUAAAUGUCCCCAUUUGUUAUAAAACAACAAUUUGCAUGCUGAUUAAAUUGGUCUGUUUCAAGGUUGAACACAUUACAAUUACUAUGCUAUGUUCAGUUUAUAAAGGACGGUCUUAAACUAGGAAAUAUGUCUGUCAUAACUGAUUGAUUGAUGUAACCUGAUGCUUAUAAAAUAACUGCUUCAACACGGCUUGGCUUGAUUUUGUUUGUUUGCAAAUUUGACAUAUUAUAUAACAUACAAGUACUAGGAAACAAAUGGUAUGUACUGUCCUGAAGUGGAAUAAUGAAUUAUUUUCAUACUAAAGGACAAGGACCAUAGACAAAUGGAAUAGAAGAUUAUCUGAUCAUCUCUAGAUGGAAUAGACCAUUUUAUGGACACAGACACUUGGGAAAAUCCUAAGAGCCACACCCAUAUUGGAGACUGAAGCCACAUUGCACAUUUGAGACGAGAGGUCAUAGGUCAUUGAUGAACAUGAACUUACGUCAACAUCCUUGCCUUUAUAAUAAUGUCUCACAUGAUAUGUUUCAUGAUGCACAUGUUCUAUACAGCUUCACACAGAACUAAGGACUUACAAUCAGGGGAUAUAGGCAACAAUGCCGCAGGAUCAAGUGAUGUCACCACAUAUUGUCCUCUCCUCUGGGCAACAAUGUCUCCUUCAGCCGCGUCGUGGUGGUGAUGGGACAAUCGUUCCACUGUACCAAGCCCUCAGAUAGGCUACAGCCACCUACGGCUGCCUCUGUCCAAUCACAGGGACACAUGGGUGGUAUGUGGCCUUCCAGAGCCCACGUCUAUAAGCUCAACGAAGGCAUUAUGUGACACGGGGGUAGCACUAUCCACGCUUAGCAUUCUGGUCUACUCUGGACUCUCGUUACUGUUACUAUCACAACCAAGCUUUACUGAGCGAGGUGUGCUGCAUGAGCGUGCAAUGUGUCGCGCCGAGUGAACCCCAAAAUCCACCACCUCAGCAGGGUCAGGAAUUCAACCUUCUUCUCAAUGGGCAACACCAGCAUCACCGAGGGGAAGACGGCCCUCUCCCUGGGAAACACCACUAUCAAGAGGGGCAAGACCAAGCUCACUGUGGGCAACUCGUCUAUCACCAGGGGCAAGAAGACCACUUCUCUGGGCACCUCCACCAUCGCCAGUGCCAAGACCAAGCUCACUAUGGGCAAUGCCUCCUUCAGCAGGGGCACCACCACCACCUCGUUUCGAAAAGCCUUUUUCGCCAAACGCAAGACCCUCUAGAUGAGAGGGGACAUCAUUGGGUGGAUGGACUGGUGGCUAACUCAACAAAACGUAAAGACAACAUACAACAACAACAUCACAGGGGACAUAAGGACAUCACCGCAACAUCUACACAGGCUGUAUCUAAACUGACUUCUAAAACACUGGAUUAUUUUGCUUUGGACCAUUUUACUGUUUUGAUCAAACAGGAUUUUAUCGAGGAAACAGGUUCAACGUGUUGGCACCAACAGUGUUCAUCCAGUCAUGGACCUCGUCAUGAGAGCUCUUAGGCCAGAAUAUGCAACAAAGUAAAAUAUCAACUGGCCUGUAACAAGAUUCCCUAGUGAUAGCUGUUUCUCCUGGUUUGGCCUCUUUCAAUAAGGUAAAAUAGCAGCUAUUGGUACAGUCUGUUUCUCUCAGAUGAACCAAGUACAGAUGACACUCUGGUCCCGCCAUGUUUUAAAAACAUAUGUAGCCCAUAGCAACAGCUAUACUGUUAUGUAAGACUUAUUUUAUUCUUGACAUUUUAUUAUUAUUCUGGCCAUGGUAAAUACUUAUAAAUGAAAGCCAGCUUAAGGCAUGUGCGGUAUCUCCUUCUAAAGUUAUUUUUUUCUCAGGACAUGAAAAGUUCAUGGUGCCAAGUUCCAACUGAGAUUUCUUCAGUCAUUUUCAAACACACAUCAAAAUAGUACAUGAAUAAAUGAGACUUUUCCACUUGGAGACUACCAGCUGGACCAUACUGUAUAUCUAUGACCUCUGCUGACUUAACUAUUGACCUAAGACCUUUGACCCAGGGAAGCAACAAUAGUUCCCUGUGAUGUUGAGAGUAUUUCCAGAUUUCCGUCACUGUACUGUCUAUUGCUGUGCAUGGAAAUCUCUGUCAUCAAAAUAAGUUGAGUCGAUGAAACAUGAUGUAAUGGGGAGCUCACUUUGACACAUCAGAUCACUGCAUUUUAGAAGUCACUAUAUCUUGGCUUUGGUGUCAAAAAUAGGGCCAACCCAUGAGAUGUGCCAUCCCAGAGUAAGCCUACUAGUAUUACUGAACCCUACUAUAUCAAUAUAGCACUAAAACAACCAUGUUAAUGACUUGGAGGAAGAGCUUUGAAUGAGAGUGCGAUGCCACUUUGGCAAAAAUCCAUUAUGAUCCCUGAUGACAAAUUGGCAUGGGGAUGAAGUACUGGGUCCAGCAUUUCACCAAGGGUAAACAGAUUCAAAUUCAGUAAUCAAGAACAACUCUGAAUGUUCUAUUAUCAUACACAAAUAGGCCUCAAAACAAGGAUUUACUUCCAAAAAAAAUUAAAAAUAGGAAAUCCAAACAUGUUAAUCUAUGUGUGCCGAAAUGUGUAUGUUGUGAUAGUGGAGGAAAUGUUUUGUAUUCAAAUUGAAAAUAUAUACACGUGCACUAGUGUUAGAAGAAGGAUCAUGCUUGGGCUGGUGUGCUAACUGAACACUAAUUUGGGCUUCGUUGGGAGGGAUGGCUAAUGAUCUGAAGAUAACUGUGUCCAUAUCAGUCAAACCUUUUUCAUGACUCCCUCCAUUACUCUUGGCAUUAGUCUGGGGCACAGCCCUGCUCUGCCCUGCUGGUAGCCCUUCCUACACAAUGACACACACACACACAACAUCAGCCUGACUCUAUGCACAGCCAGAGGUCCUGAGGUCACAAACAUUCACAACCUUUGUCAACUUGAACACCACCUGGGAUAAGGGCUGUCAUUGGCUGACACAUGGAAGUAUUAUACACGUCUGUCUGGCAGGAAAAGAGGCCUCUAUGACUUACAGCCCAUCUUAGACUGCACAAUACAAAAGGUAGACUUGACAUCGACACAGAUGCUUUCAGAUAUUCAAAGCCUGGGGAAUACAUGUACUACCCUUGCAAUAAACUUAAUUCAUAGCUCUCAUUGAAAAGUAAUUCAUGUCUUUCCCAGUGGAGACAACUGUAUGAUUAGCAUUACUGAUGAAAAACUGUUGUGAACAUUUUUUGUUUUGUUUUGUGUCCUGUGCCUGUGUCUUUAAAUGUCUUGGAUUAAAUGUUCUUGGCACGGUCAGUGUAUGAAAAAUGACCGAACUGCAACAAACGUCUCUUUGUUCUCUCGCUAAUCCUUCCUGGAGUCUGAAGUCUGUGUCUUUGAAAACAUUCUUUAUGGUCAUGAUCCAUGUCUGUUCUAUGUGUUCUAUUACACUAUGUUCCACUAAAUGCAGACAGAACCCUUGACAGAGAGGUGCUGUAAUAAAAAAGUGCUUGAUCGUG